AAUGUCGUGGUUCUCUAUUUUUAAAAAAUGGAGCUAAGAGGGAAUUCGGUGAAGACAUUUCAAAUGCCGAAGCUGCCCCCGCAACUGUGAACGGCGAGCCGAUAUUGAUAAAACCACUGGAAUUAUUUCCGGGAAGGUAGAUAAAGGUGUUGACCCGUAAGCCAGGAGACCUGCCGCGACAAAU
rnacentral:ncRNA from 1 species